GGGGUGGUUGUGCUGGGUGGAGGGGGUGCGUGGCGGCGGGGUGCGCGGUGGGACGGGGGGCUCAAAGGAACGGUAACGAGUGUGGCUUUUAAGCUGCGUGGUAAAAUACAGCAAAGUGCUUCAACUUGCCCGCACGUGCGUGUGAUUAGUAAUAUAAAUAGUUUGCUUCAGCAAAAGCUUGAUUUAUCUUUGGUUUUUUGCAUUGUAUAGGCAGAUGGGAAGAAUGUAAAUUCCUGAAACUAUGAAACAAACAGGAAUAAGGGACUUGUGCGGCCGGAUAUAGGAUGUGUGGCAGUCAUUCUUGAUUGAAUCAACAUCUAAUCUGAAAGCAACAGAACAAUGUAUAAGAUAAGGGCUUUAGGCACAGAGUUAAAUAAAACAAGACAGCCUUUAUCAACUACCUCUUAAAAAAAAAAACCCUCCUAGAAGAAAGAAUGAAGAUGACAUCAACCAUUGUGAGGUGGGAUUCGUCUUCCUAAAAAUCCUAUGAAUAUGUAAAAGGCUGGACUAUAAGAAACUUUGUACUUACAGGCGUGCAUGUAGGAUAUGAAAGCAUGCACCCAGCGCUGUAAAUAAAUCUUUGCUCCACCGACUUUGUCCCCAGUUAAAUUUUUCUAAAGGUGAGCGCGUUUCUCACAAUUUGGGGGCUCGUCCGGGAGAUUCGAAACCUCGCCUCGGCGGUGGGGAGACGGUCACUGAAGGAAGGCGCGCCCCGCUGAUUUCAGCGGUCCUUUUGUUUUCCCUCCUUGCCGCUAGAGGAUCGACGGUGACGACCCCGGCAGGGGACUCGUGGACUAAAGAGAGGCAGUAUUUUCGCGGCAGCCGAUAAUAUCUGUGCACAGAACCCGGGAAAGGAGCCAGAAUCAUCAGAAGAAAAUCAGCCCAGUUUGGAGUUGGGAGUUCGAAACUACUGGUAUCCACCACACAUUGUUCAGAACUACUGGUGUCCACUACACCCUAAUAAUGACUGUAGUCCAUUAUUCAUGGUAGAAUGCUACAAUGCCCCCGAUGCUCAGAAAGAUAAAGAGUGUGGCAAAACCCUAUGGAUACGGGAAGGGGACGACAUUUAUUGCCCUCGGGACAGACUUUGGUCCAGUUGGGAGAAGAGUGAGAGACAAGUUAGACUAAUAGCGGUAUGCUGUGGAAAAGACGGGGAACUACGGUUCUAAUAACAUAUAGGACAGGAAAUGCUAGGAAAAUUCUACAGAUACCUGUCGUAACACACCAUCUAUUUUUACGUACUCAUUGUGAACCCUGUCACGUAGGUGUGGUGACACGCUGAGGUACCUGUGGCUCUACAAGUAUCCACGAAAGGUUCACUGAAGUACUUCUGUAACU
rnacentral:lncRNA from 1 species